rnacentral:piRNA from 1 species
UCAUGCUGCCUUCUUGGGACC